rnacentral:rRNA from 1 species
GACGAACGCUGGCGGCGUGCUUAACACAUGCAAGUCGAACGGAAAGGCCCUGCUUUUGUGGGGUGCUCGAGUGGCGAACGGGUGAGUAACACGUGAGUAACCUGCCCUUGACUUUGGGAUAACUUCAGGAAACUGGGGCUAAUACCGGAUAGGAGCUCCUGCUGCAUGGUGGGGGUUGGAAAGUUUCGGCGGUUGGGGAUGGACUCGCGGCUUAUCAGCUUGUUGGUGGGGUAGUGGCUUACCAAGGCUUUGACGGGUAGCCGGCCUGAGAGGGUGACCGGCCACAUUGGGACUGAGAUACGGCCCAGACUCCUACGGGAGGCAGCAGUGGGGAAUAUUGCACAAUGGGCGGAAGCCUGAUGCAGCAACGCCGCGUGCGGGAUGACGGCCUUCGGGUUGUAAACCGCUUUCGCCUGUGACGAAGCGUGAGUGACGGUAAUGGGUAAAGAAGCACCGGCUAACUACGUGCCAGCAGCCGCGGUGAUACGUAGGGUGCGAGCGUUGUCCGGAUUUAUUGGGCGUAAAGGGCUCGUAGGUGGUUGAUCGCGUCGGAAGUGUAAUCUUGGGGCUUAACCCUGAGCGUGCUUUCGAUACGGGUUGACUUGAGGAAGGUAGGGGAGAAUGGAAUUCCUGGUGGAGCGGUGGAAUGCGCAGAUAUCAGGAGGAACACCAGUGGCGAAGGCGGUUCUCUGGGCCUUUCCUGACGCUGAGGAGCGAAAGCGUGGGGAGCGAACAGGCUUAGAUACCCUGGUAGUCCACGCUGUAAACGGUGGGUACUAGGUGUGGGGUCCAUUCCACGGGUUCCGUGCCGUAGCUAACGCUUUAAGUACCCCGCCUGGGGAGUACGGCCGCAAGGCUAAAACUCAAAGGAAUUGACGGGGCCCCGCACAAGCGGCGGAGCAUGCGGAUUAAUUCGAUGCAACGCGUAGAACCUUACCUGGGUUUGACAUGGAUCGGGAGCGCUCAGAGAUGGGUGUGCCUCUUUUGGGGUCGGUUCACAGGUGGUGCAUGGCUGUCGUCAGCUCGUGUCGUGAGAUGUUGGGUUAAGUCCCGCAACGAGCGCAACCCUUGUUCACUGUUGCCAGCACGUUAUGGUGGGGACUCAGUGGAGACCGCCGGGGUCAACUCGGAGGAAGGUGGGGAUGACGUCAAGUCAUCAUGCCCCUUAUGUCCAGGGCUUCACGCAUGCUACAAUGGCUGGUACAGAGAGUGGCGAGCCUGUGAGGGUGAGCGAAUCUCGGAAAGCCGGUCUCAGCUCGGAUUGGGGUCUGCAACUCGACCUCAUGAAGUCGGAGUCGCUAGUAAUCGCAGAUCAGCAACGCUGCGGUGAAUACGUUCCCGGG